rnacentral:misc_RNA from 1 species
AAGUCGUAACAAGGUUUCCGUAGGUGAACCUGCGGAAGGAUCAUUAACAUUUGUAUUUGAUUGUGGUGGUGUUUGUUGUUGUGUGCUUUUGCAUGCAACUCAUCAUCAUCUCAACCCCAUUGUGUGCAUGUUUUGUGUGUGUGCGAGUAGUAAGGGGAGGUUUUUACCCCUCCUUCUCUCACUACACCCCACUUCUUUCACUUUCACACCCAAACCCCUUCUUCUCAUCACACUAGACUGACUUUACACCUCGUUUUACUCAGGCUCAACUGAGCAAAACAUCAAUCAGCAUACAACUCUUAGCAACGGAUAUCUAGGGUCUC